GGCAACGUGGCUGAGUGGUUAAAGCGUAUGACUAGAAUCAGAGACCAGCUAGUUCGAUCAUAUCCCUUCGGGGUCGUAGGUUCAAAUCCUGCCGUUGUCG